rnacentral:lncRNA from 1 species
CAACAUCCCAUACCAGAGUGGUAUAUUUGUUACAACUGAUAAACCUACAUUGAUGCAUUUUGAUACCCAAACCCCAUAGUUUACAUUAGGGUUCACUAUUGGUGGUUACAUCCUACGUGUUUGGACAAAUGUAUAAUGACAUGGAUCCACCACUAUAGUAUUACAUAGAUUCAUUUCACUGCACUAAAAAUUUGCCUAUACAUUCCUCCCUCUGGAAAACACUGCUCUUUUUACUGUCUCCAUAAUUUUGGCUUUUCCGGAAUGUCAUAUAGUUGGAAUCAUACAGUAUUUAGCCUUUUCGGAUUAGCUUCUUUCACUUUAUAAUAUGCAUUUAAGUUUCAUCCAUGUCGUUUUAUGAUGUGAUAGCUCAUUUCUUAGUGCUGAAUAAUAUUCUUACAUCUGGAUGUACCACAGUUUAUCCACUCAAAUAUUAAAGGAUAUCUUGAUUGCACCCAAGUUUUGGCAAUUAUGUAAAGCUGUUAAACAAUGUGUGCAGGUUUUUAUGUGGAGAUAAGUUUUGUUUGUUUGUUUUUGUUUUUGCUUUUUUUUUUGAGAUGGAGUUUUGCUCUGUCACUCAGGCUGGAGUGCAAUGGCAUGAUCUCAGCUCACUGCAACCUCCGCCUCCUGGGCUCAAGUGAUUCUCCUGCCUCAGCCUCCCUAGUAGCUGAGAUUACAGGCGCACACUGCCACACCCAGCUACUUUUUUGUAUCUUUAGUAGAGCUGGGGUUUCACCAUGGGAUUUCACCAGGCUGGUCUUGAACUCCUGACCUCAAAUGAUCCACCUGCCUGGGCCUCCCAAAGUGCUGCAAUUACAGGCGUGAGCUACUGUGCCCGGCCAGGACAUAAGUUUUCAAGUCCAUACCAAGGAGCGCUAUUGCUGAAUCAUAUGGGAAGAGUAUGUUUAUUUUGUAAGAAACUGCCAAACUGUCUUCCAAAGUGACUAUGCCAUUUUGAAUUCUUACCAGCAAUGAAUGAAGGUUCCUGUUGCUCCACAUUCUCACCAGCACUUGGUUUCAUCAGUGUUCUGACUUCAGCCAUUCUAACAGGUUUGAACUGCAUGGACUGCUUAUAUGUGAAUUUUCUUCCACUUCUGCCACCCCUGGAACAGCAAGACCAACCCAUCCUUUUCCUCCUCUUCUUCAGCAUACUCAAGGUACUAUAUUGUACAUUCCACUGUAAAUGAGCAAACAUUACACUGGCAGCAGGGACCAGCAUCCUUUAUCAAGAGGCAGUUGUAGCUCAAGAGUUGCAUCUUGGUAGCAUCAAUACAGAAUUUAAGGAUUACAGAAGAUAUCUCAAAAGUUCUCUAUACUUGGAAGAAAAAUAAAGAACGAUUUGCACUUCAUUUCCUUAGCAUGGAGUAGAGCAUUAAUCAUUAUCAUUUUUUCAUGCCACUAAAUCUUUGCAAUGAUAAUUCUUUAAUAGUAUUGGUCUACAUCCACUAGAUAAACAUUAUAGGCUUAUAAUGUGCCAGGCACUGUGCUAGACACUGGAGAUAACACUUUGAAUAAAACAGAAAUGGAACUCCCAUCAUGGAGCUCAGAAAUAACACUGAAAUGCUCCUGGAUUUUGAGCCAGCAAUAACAGCAGGAAGAAAACUGCACUCAAAACACUAUGAAUUUAUUUCCGCCAUUUAAAAAAAAAGAAUGAAGAAGGUAUUUCAAAUCCAGAAAAGAUAUUUUCUCAUCAUGAUAGCAGAUGUUAAAGAUAUUGGAAACAGUGCAAUUUCUCCUAGUGUAGAAGGAGGAGGAAGUUGGUAGACACACAGCUGAAAUAAAGGAAGCAGAAGGAAGAACACAGGCAGUGCUCAUCUUGCAGGAGGCUUGAGCACCCUAAGUCUAUUUAUAAAUCAGUUGUUCAAAACUAACAAGUAGUGUCGCACAUCAUGUUUAUAUUUUGAGGUAGCCGCAACAGCCUUUUAAAUGCACAAUGUAAUUGAAACACUAGCAUCGGAAAAGAGUACAGUUGCCAAUAUAAAUGGUAUUUUAGUGACCAAUGUUUCCUCGGCUCCAGAAGCUCCUGGAAGAUUGUCUCAGCUAUUCCUCAUGGAUCCAAAAGCCUAAUUUCACCUAUAAAUAAUCAAUGGAUAUUUUAUCUAUCUUCAAUUUCCAAUGAGGAUAAAUCAGCAGAGAAAAGACAACACUGGCAGCCUUAAAGAGAAAAGCAGUAAAAAUAAGAUUAUUUCAUUGCCAUUUUUUUAAAGAGAUGGGUUCUCACUGUGUUGACCAGGCUACAAUGCAGCAGCUAUUCACAGGCACAAUCAUAGUGCACUACAACCCCAAACUUUUGAGACUCAGGCAAUCUUCCUGCCUCAGCCUUCAGAGUAGCUGGGACUAUAGUCAUUGCCAUUUUAGAAACCAUUUUCAUUCACUGCAACUUUCACCAAAUAUUUAUUGAGUGCUCACCAUGUGCUAGCCACUGUUUGGUAUGCUGACAAUACAUGUCAGUGACCCAAACAAUGUUCCUCAUCUCAUAGAACUCACAUCUACUGGAGAAAGCAGACAAUAAAAAUUGUUUAAGAAAAGCAGAAACACUUUGCCAAGGGUUGAUAAACUAUGCAAUUCCCAUCAAAAUACCACCAUCAUUCUUCACAGAAUUAGGAAAAACAAUUUUAAAAUUCAUAUGAAAACAAAAAAGAACCCACAGAGCCAAAGCAAAACUAAGCACAAAGAACAAAUUGGGCAGAAUCACAUUACCUGACUUUAUACUAGAAGGCCAUAGACACCAAAACAGCAUGGUACUGGUAUAAAAAUAGGUACAGAGACCAAUGGGGGGAUAGAGAACCAAGAAAGAAACCCACAUACUUACAGCCAACUGACCUUUGACAAAGCAAACAAAAACAUAAAUUAGUAGGUAAAGGACACCCUAUUCAACAAAUGGUGCUGGGAUAGCUGGUAAGCCACAUAUAGAAGAAUGAAACUAGAUCCUCAUCUCUCACCUUAUAUAAAAAUCAACUCAAGAUGGAUCAAAAACUUAAAUCUACGUGCUGAAACUAUAAAAAUUCUAGAAGAUAACAUCAGAAAAACCCUUCUAGACAUUGGCUUAGGUAAAGACUUCAUGACCAAGAACCCAAAAGCAAAUGCAACAAAAACAAAGAUAAAUAGGUGAGACUUAAUUAAACAAAAGAGCCUCUGCACAGCAAUAGGAACAGUCAGCAGCGUAAACAGACAACCCACAGAGUGGGAGAAAAUCUUCACAAUCUAUGCAUCCGGCAAAGGACUAAUAUCUAGAAUCUACAAGGAACUCCAACAAAUUAGCAAGGAAAAAAACAAACAAUCCUAUCAAAAAGUGGGCUAAGGACAUGAAUAGACAAUUUUAAAAAGAAGAUAUACAAAUGACCAACAAACAUAUGAGAAAAUGUUCAAUAUCACUAAUGAUCAGGGAAAUGCAAAUCAAAACCACAAUGCAAUACUUUACUCCUGCAAGAACGGCAAUAAAAAAUCAAAAAAUAGUAGACGUUGGCAUGGAUAUGGUGAACAGAGAACACUUCUACACUGCUGGUGGGAAUGUAAACUAGUACAGCCACUAUGGAAAACAGUGUGGAGAUUCCUUAAAUAACUAAAAGUACAACUACCAUUUGAUCCAGCAAUCCCACUACUGGGUAUCUACCCAGAGGAAAAAAGUCAUUAUAUGAAAAAGAUACUUGCACACACAUUUAUAGCAGCACAAUUUGCAAUUGCAAAAAUGUGGAACCAACCCAAAUGCUCGUCAAUCGGUGAGUAGUUAAAGAAACUGUGGUAUAUUUAUAAGAUGGAAUACUACUCAGCCAUAAAAAGGAAUGAAUUAAUGGCAUUUGCAGUGACCUGGAUAAGACUGGAGACUAUUAUUCUAAGUGAAGUAACUCAGGGAUGGAAAACCAAACAUCAUAUGUUCUCACUCAUAAGUGGGAGCUACGCUAUGAGGAUGCAAAGGCAUAAGAAUGACACAAUGGACUCUAGGGACUCAGGGGAAAAGGGUGGGAAGGGGGUGAGGAAUAAAAGACUACGAAUAGGGUGAAGUGUAUACUGCUCGGGUGAUAGGUGCACCAAGAUCUCACAAAUCACCACUAAAGAACUUACCCAUGUAACCAAAUACCACCUGUUCCCCAAUAACCUAUGGGAAUAAAAAAAUAAAAUUUUAAAAAAAAAGAGAGAAAAUAAAGCAAGGUCAAUAGUCAGAGUUCUGUUAGAUAGAAUGGUUAGGGAAUUUAUCUCUGAAAAAGUAACACUCAAGGAGAGAUUAGAAGGAAAGAUAGAAACAAUACCUGUGGCUCUCUGAAGGAAGGGUGCUCCAGGAAGAGGGAACAGCAAGUGCAAAGGCCUGGAGGAAAAAGGAUGCUCUUCUUGUUGCCAGGACAGCAAGAAAACCAAGGAAAUUAGAAUAGAAUGAGGGAGAAUAGUGGCAAGAAAUGGAAUCAGAAACACAAAUAGCAGCCAAUUCACUUGAGGACUGGUGGGUCAUGAAAAGGGCUUUGGCUUAUAUUCUGAGUGAAACAGAGACCCAUUAAUGGUUUUAAGCAGAGG